rnacentral:rRNA from 1 species
AUUGAACGCUGGCGGCAGGCCUAACACAUGCAAGUCGCACGAGUGGCGGACGGGUGAGUAAUGUCUGGGAAACUGCCCGAUGGAGGGGGAUAACUACUGGAAACGGUAGCUAAUACCGCAUACCAUCGGAUGUGCCCAUAUGGGAUGAGCUAGUAGGUGGGGUAAUGGCUCACCUAGGCGACGAUCCCUAGCUGGUCUGAGAGGAUGACCAGCCACACUGGAACUGAGACACGGCCCAGACUCCUACGGGAGGCAGCAGUGGGGAAUAUUGCACAAUGGGCGCAAGCCUGAUGCAGCCAUGCCGCGUGUAUGAAGAAGGCCUUCGGGUUGUAAAGUACUUUCAGCCGGGAGGCGUUACCAGCAGAAGAAGCACCGGCUAACUCCGUGCCAGCAGCCGCGGUAAUAC